rnacentral:rRNA from 1 species
CAGCACCUCAAGUGGUCAGGAUGAUUAUUGGGCCUAAAGCAUCCGUAGCCGGCUCUGUAAGUUUUCGGUUAAAUCUGUACGCUCAACGUACAGGCUGCCGGGAAUACUGCAGAGCUAGGGAGUGGGAGAGGUAGACGGUACUCGGGAGGAAGUGGUAAAAUGCUUUGAUCUCUCGAUGACCACCUGUGGCGAAGGCGGUCUACCAGAACACGUCCGACGGUGAGGGAUGAAAGCUGGGGGAGCAAACCGGAUUAGAUACCCGGGUAGUCCCAGCUGUAAACUAUGCAAACUAAGUGAUGCAUUGGCUUGUGGCCAAUGCAGUAUUUCAGGGAAGCCGUUAAGUUUGCCGCCUGGGAAGUACGUACGCAAGUAUGAAACUUAAAGGAAUUGGCGGGGGAGCACCACAAGGGGUGAAGCCUGCGGUUCAAUUGGAGUCAACGCCAGAAAUCUUACCCGGAGAGACAGCAGAAUGAAGGUCAAGCUGAAGACUUUACCAGACAAGCUGAGAGGUGGUGCAUGGCCGUCGCCAGCUCGUGCCGUGAGAUGUCCUGUUAAGUCAGGUAACGAGCGAGAUCCCUGCCUCUAGUUGCCACCAUUACUCUCAGGAGUAGUGGGGCGAAUUAGCGGGACCGCCGCAGUUAAUGCGGAGGAAGGAAGGGGCCACGGCAGGUCAGUAUGCCCCGAAACUCUGGGGCCACACGCGGGCUGCAAUGGUAAUGACAAUGGGUUCCAAAUCCGAAAGGAGGAGGUAAUCCCCAAACAUUACCACAGUUAUGACUGAGGGCUGCAACUCGCCCUCACGAAUAUGGAAUCCCUAGUAACUGCGUGUCAUUAUCGCGCGGUGAAUACGUCCCUGCUCCUU